ACAAUGUGUGCUGUAGAUUCAUCAGAGGUGCUCCCCCGGUCAGCGUUCAGAGUCCAUAAAACUCUGCUAUUUAUCCCAGCUGUGCAGUGAGAGGCUAGCCCGGGACCUCGAAGACUGACUCCUCAACCUGUCAGUCUGCCCCUUCUCGCUGGAGCACCUAUGAAGGUAGCAAGGUGUACGAAAGUGCACAGCAGACACAGGAAGCAUCUUGGCCCAGGAUGAGCCGCCAGCCCAGAGGGAUUUAGGAUGCUGAAGAUUUCACAACACAGAAAGCACCGGCUCUGAGAAGUUGUUCAGCCCAGAUACAUCUCCAGCACAAACCCACGCCUAAAGCUCAGGGAAUAUCAUAGUGGACAGAAGGACUUGAACAGCCAAGAAGACCUGGACAUACAACAGGAGAGUGGCACCCACGAAAUCUCAGUAAUAUGAUUGUCUAAACAAGACCUGAACAAUGGCACCAGAUGACAUAAAUGAAGGAACUUUUAGGGACCUCACCCCUAGAAGAGCCAUAGGCAAGUUAUGACUGAUGAGAAGGAGAAUUAGUUUUCCCCAGGGAUGUGCCCACUAAUUGAUUAGCUAAUACUGGGUUGUUAAACCUAAACAUAUGUACACACACACACACACACACACACACACACACACACACACUUGUGUAUGUGCACAUAUACAUAAGCACACACACACACACACACACACACACACACACACACACACACACAAAAACUCACCACUAUUCCUGAUGUCAGAUUGUGUGCUAAGAGUUCCACAUCUGUUAACUUCUAAAGCUUCUUAGGGAGCACUAAUCCAUUUCACAGCUAAGAAACUUAGCUUACAGGAGCUAAUAACAGUCUUGAUAAGAUGAUGUGGACCCACCAGGAUCUACCUGACCCAGGUCCUUCCAUUCAGUGUAGCCUGGACCUUAGGAAAGCCCCCACUUGGGUCUUCUACCCCUAGACAGUUGUUACUGAUUGGUGGCUGCGUUAGUAAUCUAGGGCUGAACAGGAAGGUAGGGACUCAUGGGAUCUAAUGCCAGAUCUAACAUCAACUUCAAUGUUUGUACCCCCACUUUCCUACUCUUGCCCAAACACGAUUAAACAAAACCUUGUAAGAAGAGUAGGUAUCUGAUGAUCCCUUCUAAAUUAUCUAUGUGCAUUUCUUUGACUGUAAACUGCAGGUGGCACAGUGAAUUCUAGCUAAGUGAUGUACUUCCUUGAACAGUCAGACAAGAAGCAACAGAAAAUCUUGAAGAUGAUAAACUCAUAGCCAAAGGGGUUCAUAUCACUUGUAGUCAUCUUCCAGAAAGAGUGAUAGAUACUGAUGAUGGCAAUAGGUGAGGUCAGCUUAUUAAAGAGGAUGUGUUUCAGACAAACCAGGAAGGAGAAGAUCAAGGGGAGCCACCAGCAGUGACAGACAGUCUUCAUUCCAUGGGCUGCCCACACAUGGCUUUGUGUGGUGCACACAGUGCUUGGAGUCAGUAGGGAAGGCUAGCCUCCACUUUUAGUCCCAGUGGUCACCCUAAGUUCUCAGACAUAGAAGAGAAAUCAGUGGGUCUCAACCCACUACGAGACUGUUGGAAAGAUUGGCGUCUGCCAAACGCUCUUGGUCAUUCAUGAGCAGGGUCAGGAAAAAACAAUGCAGAGAAGAGACUACAACCCACCAUCUGGCUCCUGAUGGCACACCUGCAGCCAUGUUGUAGCCAGAGAGGACAUUAGGAAGUGACGGUGGCAAAGGCUUUUGGAGGAUGUAACUUCUCGGGAAGAAAACAGACCAGAGGCCAUGAAGCUCAGCUUUUUAUUCUUCUGAUAAUGGACCAAGGCCUACAGACAAAUGCUUGGCCUAAGAUCUCCAAAUGGAGACUUGAACUGUAGAGAGUGCAGGUCUCUUCCUUCCCUUCUGAGAUUCCUUUUCACCCUCAGGCUGGUGCACCUGGGACCUCCAACUGGGAGAAUCAUUUCUGCUAGCCAGUUUAGUCAUUUCCUGCUUUUCAGUUGAGAAACUCCCUCAAUGCCUUAAAUGUAGUCUGACGAGGCACAUUUUAAUUAAAUUCAUUCUUU